CCACAUCAGCUGCGUCUUCGAUGGGGUUCACAGGAAUCUGAUCACUUGUUUCUCCGAAGGCACGUACAGUGAAGGCGCAUACUUCGAAGCGGUGGCCAAGUGUCGCGCAGCCAGCGAGGUCAUCUUUGCGUUCUACAGGGACGUCGUCGCCAAGUACUCCAGCGCUAUAUGACCCGAGAUGAGAAGGGAGGCAGCUGGCAUGUGAGCGAACUUUUGGUGAAGUGCUGGAACUAAAAUUUGUGGAACUAAAAUGUGAGGAUAGAAU